CAAACAUUAUUUUUUUAAAUGUUUAUUAAUUAAAAAAUCAACAUUUAUAGCAUCAAUCAAAAUCAAAUUGAGAAAUAUUUCACUCAAGACAUAUCCCAAGCUUUGCUUAGGACAUCAGCUGUUCCUUCUGAAGUGCCUUGCAUAGAUGUCCGUCUAAGUAACGAAAAAUGUCUUGAUUUUGUAUGUUAGAUGAAUACUGUGUGCAUUCUGAAGUACCUUGAAUAGAUGCCUGUCCAAAUGAUGGCAACGGUUGCACAUUUUGUGAGUUAGGUGGAUUCUCUUGAAUCACAAUUGGUUGAUUUGGGGUGUACAUAGUAGGAAUGGAUACGCUUCCAAUAUUUGGAUACAACUGUCGACGUCUAGCUGAUAGUAAACUUGCUUGAAUUUCAGCUUGCACAUCCAAUGCUAAAUUUAAUGGCAGUGCGCGUAGUUGCGAAGCUACAUUAAGACCAAAAUAAUGAAAUUCAUCAAAAUGUGGUGGAUUAUUUAUAUUAGAGGAUAUUUGUUCUAGGCGCUCUAAAGCAGCAGUUACUGAAUCAUUUGUUGUCGUAGACACUGCGUUUCUUUCUCUGCGAGUGAAUCUCUGAUAUGUUAAAUUUCGGCUAGAAUGACUCUUAGUAGAUUCUUCAUCAGUAGGUCCAAUUUCUACUUGUGACCGAGGUUGGGCGCAGACAUAUUUUGUUUAAUUACUGCAAGAAAGGACUUUUACCUGGCGGCUCGAUGACCGGAGUUGUACCGCCACACCGGUGUAGACGGAGAAGAUGAUAAAUUGUCUGCACGUGAAAAGAGGUUGUCCGGCUUGCAGAAAUUUAUAGAAUUACCGUUCCUUGAUUGAAAUAAAAUAAGAAAAUAAAUAAAACAGUUCCCUCUCAAUUGACACAAUUUAUUUAAGUUUCGGGUUGUACGUAAGAUGGUAAAUAUUAUUAGCUAUGUAUACAACUUACAAUUACGAUAUAACUACACUUCUGGACACAUCUAUUGGUCCACCUUAGAGUUUAGGUUUCGAUGGCCCCUACCGAAAUAUGAUUGCUAGAUUGAACAAAAACUGUUGAUGCAGUUUUAAACCUGAUACAGUUUACCAUCUUUUUCGAUCGUAUUGUUUUAAAUUUGAAUUCAGAAUACCAUACGACAUGGAGCUACGCCUAACAAGUCGGAUAUGCGCCUUGUUAAAGGCAAUUGAUUUUUGAAUAAAAAACAUGUUUUAUCAAAUAAAGGUUUAAUUUAAAAACGCGUGUUGCCUCCAUGGGCAUCUACCACAGCUCUCAUACGAUUACGCAUAGAGUUUAUCAACCGCUCUAUGAAAUUUUGAGGGAUCAUCUCCCAUUCCUCUUCUAUGGCAGUUUUCAACUCCUGCAUCGUCUGGGCAACUGGCUGACGAGCCCUAACACGUCUUUUUAGCUCGUCCCACAUGUGCUCAAUGGGGUUCAUGUCUGGGCUUCUGGCUGGCCAGUCCAUAACUGUGAUGUUCACAUCAUCACAUCCCGAAGAUAUUCCCUGACGAUGCCGGCCGCAUGGGCUCUUGCAUUAUCAUGCAUAAAAAGGAAAUUUGGGCCCACAUAGUCCGCGUAUGGUAUCACGUGAGGUUCUAAGCACUCACGAAUGUACCUUUCAGCAUUUAAUGUUGGCAGCCGUGGUCCUGUAACAACCUCAAGUUGAGUUUUGCCGCUCGCGGAUAUACCGCCCCAGACAGUCCAUGAGCCACCGCCAUAAGCAACCCUCUCUUCAAAGCAACAUUUUGCGAAACGCUCUCCCUUACGUCGGUAGACCUUCUUCCUUCCAUCAUUGCCAUGUAACACAAUUUUAGACUCAUCAGAAAAGAGUACACGGCUCCAAUCUUGCUGUGUCCAAUUUAAAUGACUGCGUGCGAAAUGAAGGCGCGCUGUUCGGUGGGCUCGCGUUAGUUUGGGCCCAUUAGCUGGCUUGUGUGGUACCAUAUCGCGUUCUUUUAACCUUCUCCGAAUAGUUUGAGCGCUCACAGAUACUCCGUAGAAGUCGCGAAGUUGGUUUUGUAUCUCAAUGGAGGUAAGGUGACGAUUUCUCAAGCUGGUAGUCACGAUGAAUCGAUCCUGCCUUUCAGUUGUAACCCGAGAUCGUGGCCUUCCAUGGCGACGAACAAAGCCGCCAGUCUCUACCCAAGUAACACAAAACACAAUUAUAAGAAGCGUACAACAGCAUGAACCUACGUGCAGAGCAGUAUAUGAGCAGCAUAUGUAGCACUAUAUCAGCCGUAUAAAAGUCUAUAAGUGUCUUGUAAGCGCAAUUUGGGCCCCAAAUAAUACGGCUUUGAGCAUUAUUAAAUAUUAUUAGUGCUGCUAACCAGCGCUUAUAAUGUUAUUGAAGACAGACAUUAGUAAAGUUGUUAGACAGCAUAUUCUAAUGUAAAAAGCAUUUUAUUAGAUGUUAGUACAGCUUUGAAACAGCUUUCAGAAUUACAAUGCCAAAGUUACGUUUUAUUCUAAGGCUGAACGUUUUAUUUUGUUUGUUUGAAAGUAUUCGAAAAAACUUAUCGCAUUUUAUUGUCCGAUUUGAUUAUUUUUCGUUUAGAGUAUUGCAGUGCAAUGGUGUUGUGAGGAGAUGUUUUAAUGUCUUUGUUUAAAAUAAUUUAUCAUAAGAUGCCUUUUAAAAUAGUGCAAACGACCGAAAGGGAUGAAGGAAUGUUCUACGGAACUUCUUGACUCACACAACAACCGAUUGUACUGUAUUUUGUGUAUGAGGUGUAUCAUUUUUUGGAACACGUUUUGCAUUUCUUAAACCAAAUAUAAAGUUUGAAUAUUC